rnacentral:rRNA from 1 species
AGACCCGAAACCCGGUGAUCUAGCCAUGGGCAGGUUGAAGGUUGGGUAACACUAACUGGAGGACCGAACCGACUAAUGUUGAAAAAUUAGCGGAUGACCUGUGGCUGGGGGUGAAAGGCCAAUCAAACCGGGAGAUAGCUGGUUCUCCCCGAAAGCUAUUUAGGUAGCGCCUCGUGAAUUCAUCUCCGGGGGUAGAGCACUGUUUCGGCCAGGGGGCCAUCCCGGCUUACCAAUCCGAUGCAAACUGCGAAUACCGGAGAAUGUUAUCACGGGAGACACACGGCGGGUGCUAACGUCCGUCGUGAAGAGGGAAACAACCCAGACCGCCAGCUAAGGUCCCAAAGUCAUGGUUAAGUGGGAAACGAUGUGGGAAGGCCCAGACAGCCAGGAUGUUGGCUUAGAAGCAGCCAUCAUUUAAAGAAAGCGUAAUAGCUCACUGGUCGAGUCGGCCUGCGCGGAAGAUGUAACGGGGCUAAACCAUGCACCGAAGCUGCGGCAGCGACACUGAUGUGUUGUUGGGUAGGGGAGCGUUCUGUAAGCCGUUGAAGGUGUGUCGUGAGGCAUGCUGGAGGUAUCAGAAGUGCGAAUGCUGACAUAAGUAACGAUAAAGCGGGUGAAAAGCCCGCUCGCCGGAAGACCAAGGGUUCCUGUCCAACGUUAAUCGGGGCAGGGUGAGUCGACCCCUAAGGCGAGGCCGAAAGGCGUAGUCGAUGGGAAACGGGUUAAUAUUCCCGUACUUGGUGUUACUGCGAAGGGGGGACGGAGAAGGCUAUGUUGGCCGGGCGACGGUUGUCCCGGUUUAAGCGUGUAGGUGUGUGUUCCAGGUAAAUCCGGUUCACUUUAACACUGAGGCGUGACGACGAGGCACUACGGUGCUGAAGCAACAAAUGCCCUGCUUCCAGGAAAAGCCUCUAAGCCUCAGGUAACAUCAAAUCGUACCCCAAACCGACACAGGUGGUCAGGUAGAGAAUACCAAGGCGCUUGAGAGAACUCGGGUGAAGGAACUAGGCAAAAUGGUGCCGUAACUUCGGGAGAAGGCACGCUGACACGUAGGUGAAGUGGUUUACCCAUGGAGCUGAAGUCAGUCGAAGAUACCAGCUGGCUGCAACUGUUUAUUAAAAACACAGCACUGUGCAAACACGAAAGUGGACGUAUACGGUGUGACGCCUGCCCGGUGCCGGAAGGUUAAUUGAUGGGGUCAGCGCAAGCGAAGCUCCUGAUCGAAGCCCCGGUAAACGGCGGCCGUAACUAUAACGGUCCUAAGGUAGCGAAAUUCCUUGUCGGGUAAGUUCCGACCUGCACGAAUGGCGUAAUGAUGGCCAGGCUGUCUCCACCCGGGACUCAGUGAAAUUGAACUCGCUGUGAAGAUGCAGUGUACCCGCGGCAAGACGGAAAGACCCCGUGAACCUUUACUAUAGCUUGACACUGAACACUGGUCCUUGAUGUGCAGGAUAGGUGGGAGGCUUUGAAGUGUGGACGCCAGUCUGCAUGGAGCCGACCUUGAAAUACCACCCUUUAAUGGCUGGUGUUCUAACGUGGGCCCGUGAACCGGGUUGCGGACAGUGUCUGGUGGGUAGUUUGACUGGGGCGGUCUCCUCCUAAAGAGUAACGGAGGAGCACGAAGGUUGGCUAAUCCUGGUCGGACAUCAGGAGGUUAGUGCAAUGGCAUAAGCCAGCUUGACUGCGAGCGUGACGGCGCGAGCAGGUGCGAAAGCAGGUCAUAGUGAUCCGGUGGUUCUGAAUGGAAGGGCCAUCGCUCAACGGAUAAAAGGUACUCCGGGGAUAACAGGCUGAUACCGCCCAAGAGUUCAUAUCGACGGCGGUGUUUGGCACCUCGAUGUCGGCUCAUCACAUCCUGGGGCUGAAGUAGGUCCCAAGGGUAUGGCUGUUCGCCAUUUAAAGUGGUACGCGAGCUGGGUUUAGAACGUCGUGAGACAGUUCGGUCCCUAUCUGCCGUGGGCGCUGGAAGAUUGAGGGGGGCUGCUCCUAGUACGAGAGGACCGGAGUGGACGCAUCACUGGUGUUCGGGUUGUCAUGCCAAUGGCACUGCCCGGUAGCUACAUGCGGAAGAGAUAAGUGCUGAAAGCAUCUAAGCACGAAACUUGCCCCGAGAUGAAUCUUCCCUGAGCCUUUAAGGCUCCUGAAGGAACGUUGAAGACGACGACGUUGAUAGGCCGGGUGUGUAAGCGCAGCGAUGCGUUGAGCUAACCGGUACUAAUGAACCGUGAGGCUUAACCUUACAAC